AGGCCAGUGGAGAAGCCCCUGUUGGCAGAGCCUCCUCCAGGAACGUGCUGCCCUGGCCCUAAAGGCCACAAUUCCACAAACCUCUCAGGGGAUGUGUCUGAGUCCAAUGCCCAGCCCGGUAAGAACAAACCCUGGAUGAGGUCCAGCCCCUGCCCCUCCUCCUAAAAGUCUCUGUCCAAACUCCAGUCCCAGAAGAGCAUUCAUAGAGUCCAGUUCUAGAAGGUUCCUCAGCACCUGACGGCUCACUUCCUCAAGUGUCAUCUGCAGAGUCGGGGCCUAGCAGGGCACUGCACCCGUGGGCUUGCUGAGAAACAAACUCACAGAAGGCGGAUUCAUUGGACAAAAGGUAUUUGGUCCCCAAAUUUAUUGACGUGUGUGAACAGGAGCCUUCAGGACGAAGACCCAAAGAUAUGGGGAAAAUUGCCAUUUUUGAUGCUUAGGCUCAACAAAAUAUGGACAUCCAUGAGGGAACACAGAUUAAUCAAAGGACCUGCGCUAAUGCUACUGGACCACAAGGGGAAGCGCAGCGAGGGUUGUUGGUCUAGAUUUCUUGAACUUUCUGAGCAGCAUUCCUUCCCUCUGGGCGUGGGGUAGGACCCUCCUGGAAUGGGGUCUUAUGCCCUACAGUCAAACAAGGCAGGUCAGAUAAUUUCUUUAUGGCCAGUUUCUGAACACAAAGGUGGAGCAAUAUUUUUAGGUUUGAUGUCUGGCUGUGGGGAAAGGGGGGCUCCGAUUUCUAUGACCUGCCCUGGGGAAAAUGGAUUCUAGUUUCUAUGACCUGCUUCGGGGAAGAAUGGCGCUGAGAGACAGCAGAGCAAGAGAAGGUCAGAGAAAAAACCUUUUGCUUCCGAAGCUGCUUCUGAAGCUGCUUCAUUUUGGGGUAUUAUUUUCUGAUCCCCGACACCUGAGCUGCUGAACCAAGGGUAGCCUGACCCACUCCCACAUGACUUAGAAUAGCUUCACCAGCCGGCCUUGGGCUACCUGGCUCUGGCCCCCUGCCCACCAGGAUUUUGGCCGGCUCUCACUUGCCUCUGCGGUGUCUGUCUCACUCUCUCUCACUCCUGCAGUUUUCUGUUCUGUUGAGUGAUGAUUGACACAUGACAUUGGUUUUGACAUUUGAGCCUGUGCCCAGCCACAGGUAGGUGGGGCAGGAGUCCUGAGUGAGCAUCUCCCUCCUUAGUGACAGUCAGGGGGCACAGAGAAUGGUGCCCAGACCAAGGUCAGGGCCUGGGCCAAGUGUGCUCAGCACGUGGUGUGUGUGCUCAAGCGG
rnacentral:lncRNA from 1 species